AAAAAGAAAAACCCUGGUUUCCGUGCCCAACAUUUGACCGUUCGUCUUAUUUGAAAAAAAUAUAAAAAAAUUAAAAAAAUAAGUCACGCAUAAAAUAUUAAUCAUGUUUUAUCAUCUAACAACAAUGAAAAUACGAAUUAUAAAAAAAUUUCAUAUAAGACGGAUAGUUAAAGUUGGACACGGAAACCCAGGGUUUGCCUUUUU
rfam:Oryza sativa (indica cultivar-group) chromosome 12, whole genome shotgun sequence.